UCCUACGGGGGGCAGCAGUGGGGAAUAUUGCACAAUGGGGGGAACCCUGAUGCAGCGACGCCGCGUGAGUGAAGAAGUAUUUCGGUAUGUAAAGCUCUAUCAGCAGGGAAGAAAAUGACGGUACCUGACUAAGAAGCCCCGGCUAACUACGUGCCAGCAGCCGCGGGAAUACGUAGGGGGCAAGCGUUAUCCGGAUUUACUGGGUGUAAAGGGAGCGUAGACGGCAGAGCAAGUCUGAAGUGAAAGCCCGCGGCCCGA
rnacentral:rRNA from 1 species